AAUGAACGCUGGCGGCGCGCCUAAUGCAUGCAAGUCGAGCGAGAAGACGUAGCAAUACGUUUGUAAAGCGGCGAACGGGUGAGGAAUACAUGGGUAACCUACCCUCGAGUGGGGAAUAACUAGCCGAAAGGUUAGCUAAUACCGCGUACGCUUCUUGGACUUCGGUUCAGGGAGGAAAGCGAUGCCGAGGGUAUCGCGCUCUUGGAUGGGCUCAUGUCCUAUCAGCCUGUGGUGAGGUAACGGCUCACCAAGGCUUCGACGGGUAGCUGGUCUGAGAGGACGAUCAGCCACACUGGCACUGCGACACGGGCCAGACUCCUACGGGAGGCAGCAGUAAGGAAUAUUGCGCAAUGGGCGAAAGCCUGACGCAGCGACGCCGCGUGGGGGA
rnacentral:rRNA from 1 species